rnacentral:lncRNA from 1 species
GUCAAUAUCUUCAUCUUAAUCACUAAAAACACAAAUAAUGUAACAAAAAGGCACAAAAUAACAUAUAGACCAAGCAUUUUAGCUAAGAAUUAAAAGACAAGAAUACACAAAUUUAACAUAGUACAAAUAACACAAUGACAGGCUGUAUAAGUACAGAGCGACGUCAUGUAUGUAUCAAAGAAUCAUAAAAAGGCAUAUAGACAAAGCACACAGCAAAAAUGAAAGUCAAGCAUGGUUUUCAAUAGCACAAUAACGGGAUGUAUAAAUACAGAGUCACACUUUAUGUAUCAAAUUAACACCAAAAAACUUUUAGACAAAGCAUUUUAGCAAAAAAUAACAACAAGAAUACGAGAAUAUCAUUAACAAUAACAUUAUGACAGGAUGUACAACUACCACACGUAUAUUAAUAAUUUUUU